rnacentral:rRNA from 1 species
UGGGGGGGCUACACAUGCAGUCGAGCGGAUGAAGGGAGCUUGCUCCUGGAUUCAGCGGCGGACGGGUGAGUAAUGCCUAGGAAUCUGCCUGGUAGUGGGGGAUAACGUCCGGAAACGGGCGCUAAUACCGCAUACGUCCUGAGGGAGAAAGUGGGGGAUCUUCGGACCUCACGCUAUCAGAUGAGCCUAGGUCGGAUUAGCUAGUUGGUGGGGUAAAGGCCUACCAAGGCGACGAUCCGUAACUGGUCUGAGAGGAUGAUCAGUCACACUGGAACUGAGACACGGUCCAGACUCCUACGGGAGGCAGCAGUGGGGAAUAUUGGACAAUGGGCGAAAGCCUGAUCCAGCCAUGCCGCGUGUGUGAAGAAGGUCUUCGGAUUGUAAAGCACUUUAAGUUGGGAGGAAGGGCAGUAAGUUAAUACCUUGCUGUUUUGACGUUACCAACAGAAUAAGCACCGGCUAACUUCGUGCCAGCAGCCGCGGUAAUACGAAGGGUGCAAGCGUUAAUCGGAAUUACUGGGCGUAAAGCGCGCGUAGGUGGUUCAGCAAGUUGGAUGUGAAAUCCCCGGGCUCAACCUGGGAACUGCAUCCAAAACUACUGAGCUAGAGUACGGUAGAGGGUGGUGGAAUUUCCUGUGUAGCGGUGAAAUGCGUAGAUAUAGGAAGGAACACCAGUGGCGAAGGCGACCACCUGGACUGAUACUGACACUGAGGUGCGAAAGCGUGGGGAGCAAACAGGAUUAGAUACCCUGGUAGUCCACGCCGUAAACGAUGUCGACUAGCCGUUGGGAUCCUUGAGAUCUUAGUGGCGCAGCUAACGCGAUAAGUCGACCGCCUGGGGAGUACGGCCGCAAGGUUAAAACUCAAAUGAAUUGACGGGGGGCCCGCACAAGCGGGUGGAGCAUGUGGUUUAAUUCGAAGCAACGCGAAGAACCUUACCUGGCCUUGACAUGCUGAGAACUUUCCAGAGAUGGAUUGGUGCCUUCGGGAACUCAGACACAGGGUGCUGCAUGGGCUGUCGUCAGCUCGUGUCGUGGAGAUGUUGGGUAAGGUCCCGUAACGAGCGCCAACCCUUGGUCCUUAGUUACCCAGCACCUUCGGGGGGGGGGCACUCUAAUGGAG